UCCUGGAAAGAGAAGGAACAAGGAUGC
rnacentral:piRNA from 1 species